CCCGCUGCCCGGACCUGCACAACACCCCCAGGAUUGACACCAAUCAUCAUGCAGAUGCCUCGGAAGGCAGAAUCCUUCUCCUCGUUGUCCCGGAUGUUCCUAAGGGACGUGCACCUGGCCAUGGAGGAGGGCAGCAGCAGGUCCCACCCAGGCAGGCACACACCAAGGCCGGAUGAACUGCUGCAGCAUGGGUGCCACCUCCUGUGGGCACACGUAGCCCAGGCGGCCGAUGGUGAUGGCUGGAAUGGCAGAGGGACUCGUCAGGCGACCUGCAACCCCGAGUGGCCCCGGGACGGUACGUGGCGGGGCCUCUGGCAGGAGGCACCGAGCCCCGUCCCACAGGCCCCAACUGAAGGACCCUAUGGCUAUCCUGGGCCUUUGAGUUUGGCCCAUAUAAAUAUCCUCCCCACGCAGCCUGGGUCUUUUCCCAUAUACUCUAAAACCAGUAUUCUUUCUUGGGUUCCUCCCAGAAUCCCAUUUCAGGUGUUGACACCCUUCUUGGAACUCUCCCUCUCAGCCCAGGCCUGGUACUCACCUGUGUUUUCCAGUAGUGUCUUGGGCGUGUUGGGCCUGUUAAUGAUCUCCACCAGAUUGUUGAGGACCAUCUGCACAUAGGGCUGCAUCUCUGCCCCUAGGGACCAGUCAUUCAGAGCCCUUCAUGGCCCACUCCACCCACGGAAGGCCAGCUGGGUACGGCUGACCCCAAUCCAUGUCCCCAGUUCUAUGUGGACUGCUGCACCACAAAGCCUAAGAGAAUAAAGAAUCUCCUCCGGAUGCUCCCAGCCAAGUCCACAGCCACAACAGACCCACC